GCACUGUUAAAAAUGUGACAUUUUAUUCGAGCAUAUGCAAUUACAUUGUGCACAUUUUUUCAACGUUAAUCAAACAUUUAACCAAAUCAAAAAACUACUUGAAGUGAGCGAAAAAAAAAGAUGUCCGAAUCAAUAUCAAUUACACCCGAAUUCGUUUGUGAAAUUGUCAAAAUAAUUUGGAAUGAAUAUUCGGCUUCAGACGCUGUUCACGAAAUAUUCGCUUUAUUAUUAUCGAUUAGAGAAAAAACAAACGAAUUGAUAAGUGGUGUGACUGUCGAGAAAGACCAAUUUAAUAAAAGCGAACUAGAAGCAAUCGAAAGAGUUAGGGAAAUGGAAGUCGAUCUACAUGAAGCAAUCCAUUUGUUGGAUCCAAAAAAUAGAUUGAAAUGAAAAAAACGUACCAGCAUUAAAUGGCGGCGGUGGUGGUGGAGGUGCUGUUUGGCUCAGAGUUUGACCAUAUUGUGAACUAGCUGUACCGUUACCAUAUCCAUUUGCAUUUGAAGCACCAUUUGUUUGCCCAUAAAUAUCUGAAUAAAGAAAUU